GGACUACCCGCUGAAUUUAAGCAUAUCAAUAAGC
rnacentral:rRNA from 1 species